GCCCAUCAGAAGGGGAUAACACUUGGAAACAGGUGCUAAUACCGUAUAACAAUCGAAACCGCAUGGUUUUGAUUUGAAAGGCGCUUUCGGGUGUCGCUGAUGGAUGGACCCGCGGUGCAUUAGCUAGUUGGUGAGGUAACGGCUCACCAAGGCCACGAUGCAUAGCCGACCUGAGAGGGUGAUCGGCCACAUUGGGACUGAGACACGGCCCAAACUCCUACGGGAGGCAGCAGUAGGGAAUCUUCGGCAAUGGACGAAAGUCUGACCGAGCAACGCCGCGUGAGUGAAGAAGGUUUUCGGAUCGUAAAACUCUGUUGUUAGAGAAGAACAAGGAUGAGAGUAACUGUUCAUCCCUUGACGGUAUCUAACCAGAAAGCCACGGCUAACUACGUGCCAGCAGCCGCGGUAAUACGUAGGUGGCAAGCGUUGUCCGGAUUUAUUGGGCGUAAAGCGAGCGCAGGCGGUUUCUUAAGUCUGAUGUGAAAGCCCCCGGCUCAACCGGGGAGGGUCAUUGGAAACUGGGAGACUUGAGUGCAGAAGAGGAGAGUGGAAUUCCAUGUGUAGCGGUGAAAUGCGUAGAUAUAUGGAGGAACACCAGUGGCGAAGGCGGCUCUCUGGUCUGUAACUGACGCUGAGGCUCGAAAGCGUGGGGAGCAAACAGGAUUAGAUACCCUGGUAGUCCACGCCGUAAACGAUGAGUGCUAAGUGUUGGAGGGUUUCCGCCCUUCAGUGCUGCAGCUAACGCAUUAAGCACUCCGCCUGGGGAGUACGACCGCAAGGUUGAAACUCAA
rnacentral:rRNA from 2 species